CAGCCGCCGCGGUAAUACGUAGGUGGCAAGCGUUGUCCGGAAUUAUUGGGCGUAAAGGGCUCGCAGGCGGUUUCUCGAGUCUGACGUGAAAGCCCCCGGCUCAACCGGGGAGGGUCAUUGGAAACUGGGAAACUUGAGUGCAGAAGAGGAGAGUGGAAUUCCACGUGUAGCGGUGAAAUGCGUAGAGAUGUGGAGGAACACCAGUGGCGAAGGCGACUCUCUGGUCUGUAACUGACGCUGAGGAGCGAAAGCGUGGGGAGCGAACAGGAUUAGAGACCCCCGUAGUCCCUGUCUCUUAUAA
rnacentral:rRNA from 1 species